rnacentral:lncRNA from 1 species
AUGCAUCUGUAUCACUGAUGAAGCCAGGGUUUAUCUGGAGGGGGGGUGUCGACGUCCUCUGCUUCAAACUAAGCUUAAAUGUCUUUCAUCCUUAAGGAAAUUUGGACCUUUUUAAAGGUAGAAAAAUGUUUGAAUUUCCUUCUCAGAACACGACUGUGGCGAAGAGACGGAGCAGCAUUGACAACGGACUCCGUCAUCAAUGCUGAAAUUAUCAGGCCUGGCUGAGUGCUUCCGACCAUUGGAGAGUUAAAACAAUAAUAACCCAGAGGCCGGAAAGGUUAAACAAAUGAUGCAGAGUUCCAUGGACCGCUGCCACAAUUGUUCCAGGAGUUCCACCUGCUUCUAAGUUUAUUAUAUUUUGAGGCUAAAUAAAGGAUGGCACACAAAAAUGUAAAGUGGAUUUGAAAAACAAAUGAAAAACUAGUUGCAUAAUAGGACAUGGAUUGUUAAUAGUUUCAACUUCCUACACUGUUCCACAUCAAACAUCAGGUUUUUCACAGCUUUAGACACCGUUUUCAGCUCAUUUUGAUCAAGUUUCUGCCAUAGAGACAUAAGCUGGUCUAACAGCGUCUACUUGGCAAACAAAAUAAAAUCGAUAAGGACCAAAAACGGACUGACGUCAGACAGUUGGGAGAGGUGCGAGCUAAGCUAGCGCUGGGCUAAUUAGCGUUGGCUCGAUUGCGUCGCAGGAAAGUGACGAUUUUCCAUUAAUUAACCAAUCACAGCACAGUCUCGCGCUUCAACCUCCAAUCACCGGGUGACGUGUCUCAUGACGUACGAAAAGUACGAGUGUUUCGAGCUAAAAACAACUCAAUUUAUUGAACUAAACGUUACUGAACAUCACGAGAAGAAACUUUUGAUGUUGCUGAAGGAUAGCUGCCUAAACUAUUAAAUACAAGUAGUUUGUUGAAUUAUUUUGGCCUUUUAAAGACCACUUUAGUGGUAUAUUUUAUAAUAUAAUAUACAACCUUAACUGGAGUGAUAGCAGUCUUAACGCUGACAUCUCACUGAUACCAGUGUUGUUCCUU